AUGGCAUUGGUAGGGUUUGGUUCAGUGUUUGUAGUUCUAGGAUUUCUGACUAUCGUAUCAUCGGUAAUUCAGGAAAAGUUGGUGAAUAUAAUUCAUAGCCAUCAAUCUUGGCAGUCGUCUGCAAGACUCUGUGAGCAAACCAACAACAAGCUUGCAACCUUUAAAACUGUGGAGGAAUUCCUUGACGUCCAGAGUCAACUUCAAGAUUUUACCAACCGCAGCAUCGCCACAUUUUGGCUCGGGGGCAGGGAAAUAAAGUCACUGUGGGUAUGGUCUCACGACCAGAGGCCGCAGAUCGGCAGAACCCGGGGCUGCAUGGAGGGAUCCCUGCCCCUGGUCGUCUCCAGUGUACUACAGAAUAACUUCCCCGAGCUCUGUACGGCCUUCUGUAAGGUCACACUGAAGAGGCAAUUCGCUGCUCUUCAGGGUAGCAGGUGCUACUGUCUGUACGACACAGCGAGUCUCAGGGAGACAGAGAUACAGGGGUGUAGCACGCCCUGCCCCGGGAACCCGGAGGAGUUCUGUGGGGGGACAAACCGUUCCUCAGUCUUCUCCACAUGGGAUUCAGUAGAAUGGGGCUACCAAGAACCUUCACUACGAACAUACGGGAAGGACUGUGCUCUACUGAUGCAUUAUGGGACAAAUUCAGAGUGGUCUACAGAGUACUGCAGACAGAAACACGAAUUUAUCUGUCAUGUUGAGCAAAGCGAUGUUUGCGACUGGCUCAAUCAACCAACACCUUGUCUGUACGCCGUGUCGAAAAAGAUGGAUUGGUACUCUGCCAGCCACAAGUGUAAUCAGCUACAUGGUUACUUAGUGGACCGGGACGCCAUACUUCAUCGUAAUCUGAAUCUUUCAAACGUUUAUUACUGGACUGGAUUGACUAGGACGCGGCAGAUUUGGACUGACGGCUCCACAAUCGAUUUAUCAUUAAGGCGCCACAUCCCAUUCUUAUCAAUGCAGGAAAAGUUAUGCAUAGCCUUACAGUACCGACAGAGAGAAGGCUGGGGGUUGGCAUCCACGGACUGCAGCAAGAAAUACCCAGCGCUGUGUCAACCAGAAAGGAAGUAUGCCAUUGAAGAUAUACAGGAGAUCGGCCCACCUAAUGGACCUGCCUUCUUCAACAACGAUAGCCACACAACACGUGUAAAGACGACAACAGAGACAUUGACAACAAUUGACAGUGAAACACUCUAUAUGAAGGCAAAUUUGGUGUAUUGGAUACUUAUCCCCACAGUUUCCAUGGUUCUCUUGUUUCUUUUCGUUCUGUUGGUUGGUGUUUACGUUAAAAGAUCAAAAAAAACUAAAACAACAGAGGAGAAAGUCAUCGAACCAUUUUAUUACAUACUAGAGAAGCAAAAACCUCGGCCGCACAGUGGAGUUUACAAUCAUAUAUUCAUGGAGAAUCAGUAUAUUCUAAACUACAGCCAUCUUCACUUUAACGGAACCCUUAAACAGAUGGUACAGGACAGCACUGCCAUAACGACGGUGGAGGAAAACAGUGAGAUUCAUCCAAAUUACUACGACACUAUGAGUUGUAAAUUACACCAAUACGACAGGGUGUCACGUGGUAAAGUGAAGGUAUACUGUGUGCAGGGACUAUAUGAGACUGUCAUGUGAAGUUGACAUUGUUUAUUACUCUUUUAUAAUUAACGCGUUGUGAAAUGCAAGACUGCUUAAAUUAUAAAUGAUAUGUUGGUUUUACAGGUUGAUGAGUGCUUUAUCUUGAUUUUUUUAUAUUUAAUAUCUAGGAAAUGCAAUUAACAAGAAAAGUCUUUCUUAAAUUCUACUUUAUUCUUAGUUUUUACCUUAUUUGUAUGAACAUAUUUUGAUUAAAAAAAAAUAAACACAUUUUGUACCUUACAACAGCAAAUUCAGACACCCUGACCAAUAAAUUACAAACUUGAGGUAGAUUAAAAUGAUUGGCUGUAAUUGUACGCUAGGAUUGUCCAAUCAGAUUGCAGAUCUCUAAAUAGAGUUCGUCUCGCACCGUGUCGAGUGUAUGGACAUCGUCUACUACAAACACGUGGGUGUGGUCUGGGACAGUGGCCAUCAUGUUGAGUUCUGUCACGUCCACGCUCCCAAAACCUGAUGUAACAUUCAAAAUGGGUUAAACAUGUAUCAGUUAAUUUACGUAACACUACAUAUUCAUUGUUUAACAAACACACAGAAAGAUAUCUAAUCGCUUCAGAUGUGCGUGUAAAAAGUACAAACGAUAUGCUUAGAGAAUACAUUAUUAUUUUUCUCAACAUGAAUAAAUAUCUCUUGCAAAAGACAAACUUUUUUUAGUAGAGAUUUAAAUAGCAGUAUGAAAUAGGGCAAAUAUAUGUAGUAUAUAUUUAAUAUAAUAAAUAGUUUCGGGCUUGAUAUUUGUUGUUUCAAUGCAUUUCAAAUAGUAAAGAUCAUACCGAACGGGUUAUACCAGUAUAUAUGGGGUAUUUGCAGUUUGUUUUGAAAAUAGAAUCUAGAAUUAACUACUAUUGCAAUAGAUAGUUUGUUAAUUUUAAAAUAUUAUAUAAGGACUAUGUCAUUUUUUCUAUAAAAAGAAUGACAUGUAUAGAGUAUAAAUAUUAUGUUCUUGUUGGAUAUUAAAAUUAUGCA
rnacentral:misc_RNA from 1 species